rnacentral:misc_RNA from 1 species
AGAACACUUUGUAAGGUCAAAAACAAUACCACGGACAUUUUGGAUGAUGAUAACACAAAUCCUCAUGAUUAUAACAUUCCUUCUUUAUGCUUCAGCUCUGAGUGGUACUCUCUAUGCUGCGACUGCAUUACUAGGGAUUUGCUUCGGUGUUCAGUUUGGUGUAAUGAUUCCUACUUCCUCCGAGCUUUUUGGCUUGAAACAUUUUGGCAUAAUAUUCAACUUCAUGCAACUUG